rnacentral:snRNA from 1 species
AUGCUCGCUUCACCAGCUCACAUGCUAAUGUUGGAGUGCUAUUGAGAGCAUUAGCACGGCCUCUGCUCAAGAGUGACCUGCAUAUCUGGGAAGUGGUUUAUAUUUAA